CCUGUGCCCAUGGGGAGGUGCAACCAAUCCACAGGACGGAGAGAACGGAGGCUCAGCGGGCAAAUCUCACAUUCAGCUGAGAACAUCCUCAGAGCACAUUUCAGUGGGAUACUCAAAGAAGAGCCUCCUGCAAUGCCCUGACUCAGAGCACAUCUCAAAAUGACUCCAGGAACAGCCUGGAUCCAAAAGUCAGAAAGUUACCAGGAAAACAAAGAAGCUGUUCAGUGAUGAACCAACAUUAUCAUCUGCUCCACAGAAUUUCUGCUGCUGUCCCGGACUGGUGGAACACAAGGAGCCCAAUCCCACUUGGAAACUAUUUUCAAGGUCUGAAACUGA